CACAGUCUUCUACUGCUUACCUAAAUAAAAAGGGGAAAAUAGAGAACUUCGGGCGGGCGAAAUUCAAGGAAGAAAAACGUGUGUUUUUCUGUGUUAAAAAAUGACAAGCUAUAUACCAUGUAUAUAUAACUGCGUUUUUUAGGUCAAAGCACUUUUCCAUAACCUGUUAGGUUUUCUUUCUCCACUAAGGAAAAGUUUCCUUUAUUUCCUAUUAUUCAGGCACAGUAGGGACAACAAAAUUUAAUUAACAGGGCUUCCUAUCAUGGAAUUAUUUUCGAAUUUUAAAACUAAUUUCUACCAUAAUAAAUUAUGAAUUAUUCUACUAAAAAUUCGUAAUGCAAUCCUUAGUUCAAUUUUAAAAUUCUUCUAUAAAAUCUUAUUUAACUCCUCAUGCUAAGAUUCAGAUACUUACCAAUCAAAUUAAAUUACUGACAAUUUAAUUUAUUGAUUACUUCCUUUAAACUUUCACUUAACUUAUUUCAUGUAUCGAAUACAAAAUUUACCGCCGGGUUUAUACAUGAAAACUUAUAAGUUUUCAUAAAGGAGUAUCAUCAAUCUCCAAAAAAAUCGAGACAUGGAUUCUAUCAACUAAUUAUUAUUUCGCCAAUGUAUAUCAUUAUAGUCCAACUUACCAGGCUUAUUGACUCAGGUAAGAAUCUCGCUUUUUAAUAAAUCAAAAUAAUAAAUGAUAUACAUAACUAAUAAUAAUUAUAUCAAGACUAAGAGUAUAAGUAUAUUUAAUGGACUAGAGAAAUUAUUUUAUUAAGCCAGCAUAAAAUACCUAUCUCUACUUGAUCCGUUCAAUACAUACAAAAUGUACUAGCACAAGAAGUUAGAAUUAGACCAUUCCGAUAAUCAAGAUAAAUUAUAUUUAAUCUUGUGCUACAACCAUUCCGAUGGCUUCUUCAAUUCCAUCAUUAGAUCGUGAACAUAAACUUUAUGAGUAAUUAAUCUUUCGUGCAUAAGCUAAACUCUAUACAUUAAAUCAUCUACUAUAUAAGCAACGGACACACAAACAAAUACAUAAUCUAUUUAAAAUAAAACUUUAUUAAAUUGAAUAAAUAAAUAAAUAAUUAUUCUGUUGCUAUACGCAUGAUUUAUAGUAUAUCCUAACAAGCUAUUCGUUCGCCUCCCAUGAUAUUUUUUCUAUUGAAGGAAUGAACUUUAGUCUUGUUGGGUAUUACAAUGGUAAAAAGGCACUUAUGGUGAAAGAUGAUUAAAAUGGUGGAGCAGUGGCAAAAAGGGGAAUUGGGGAAGAAAGAAAAGAAAGGGGAGGAGAGGUCGUGGGUGGAAAGCCGGAGGGAGAAAGUGAAACACUAGAAAGAAGUUUUGCGAAGACUGGAUCAUGUACCUACCCCUAAAACAGCAGCCUGAGCUAUGAGAAAGAUCUUUGAAACCAGAUUAAUGAUAUCAAAUACCAAAGGUAUACAUGGGGACCUGAAUAGUAGACUGAUCCAACUACAGAAGGGAGAACGAUUCGACAUAAACAAACUCUACAGACUCCAAUUCCCCCAAGCCCCAAAAGUUCAAUGGAAAAGCAUAGUACUGCAGCCAAAACUACAUCCGAGAUUCAAAUUCAUCGUUUGGCUAGCACUGCGCAGAAGACUGGCAACGGCGGAGAGGCUAAUGCUCUUCGGGAUACAGAUUCCUCAACUAUGUGUUUUCUGCAAGCAAGUAGAUGAAUCCUUUGACCAUCUUUUCUUUGCUUGCCCGGUCUCUUGGGAAAUAUGGAAUAGAAUGCUCGUAUGGCUACAGUACAAGAGAACCAUAGGUGAUUGGAACAGCGAAGUCGAAUGGAUUAGCAACAUUGCUAAAAGGAAAAAUGGGCGUGCUGAAAUAACGACCAGUGUGUUUGGAAUGUUAGUGUACUCUCUGUGGCGGGAAAGGAACAAGAUUAGAUUCCAAGACAGGAUUUCGGAUGUAAAGGAUACAUGUAAAGAGAUAGCGAUUCAUGUGCACAUUCAGGGAAACUCUCUUAAACACUGAAAAGAAGCUUUGCGAAGACUGGAUCAUUUCCCGUAGAAGUAAGAAGAAAAACUCAACAUGCUUAGUGUUGGAAACUCUCUUAAACACUGGAAAGAAGUUUUGCGAAGACUGGAUCAUUUCCCGUAGAAGUAAGAAGAAAAACUCAACAUGCUUAGUGAGAUUAAAAUGUAUUAGAACAUAAAGGAGUUGUUCCCUCAGGACUGAUUGUAACAGUAGCUAGUCAAGCGGCUACUGGAAACUCUGUAAUUUUUGAUUUAUUAAUGAAAUGACACAUGAGAUUAAUAAAAAAAAAAGUGAGUUAGGUUUUCUUUCUCUUUACUUUUUUUAAAAUUUCUUUUGAUUUAUAAUUUACUUAUUUUAGUUUUUUAAUUAAAAAAUAUUUCUAUGCUCCUUUUCAGUGCCACAUCAGUUACCUUGUUGGCACAUAAGCAUGAUUAACGAUUAGAGAUGUGUAUUUAUAAAUAGAUAAGUUCUAAGUUUAUCUAUUGAAUUAACAAACGGACACAAGUUUAAAUAGCUCAAAGGUCGUUUUGCUAAAAAAAAAUGUAUUAUAAUUUUAUAUAUACUUUACAUGGAUAACAUGGAAGCAAAUGUAGUUAUGAAAUAAUUAUUCAAAUAAAAAUUUAUUCUGUUUUAAGUCAUUAAACUCUUAAAUAGUAAGACUUUUUAUAUAAUUUAAAUAAUUAAUAAUUAAUAAAAAAGAGAUACCUUUAGAGACAGGCUCUCAUAUUUGAUUUUGUAACACUAAUAUCCCUUGUGAUUUACGAUAUUAUAUUUAUCUCCUUUAUUUUAAUUUUUUAUUAGCAAUAUUGUUAAUUUAUUUAUCAUCAUAGUAAAAAGUUAUGGUUUGACUAAAUUAUCCUUUCUGUUUUACUACAUUAUUUUGAUAAUUUUAUAAACAUUUUUUAUUAGCUUUAUUUUUGGUUGAAAUUAGUUUAACUAUCAAAGCUCAAGUAAAAAAGAAAAUAAAGUAAGUUUAUUCCGAAAGUAUAUGUAUACGUAAAACUCUUAAUUUUGAUUUUCUUUUCUUUAACUUUUCACUUAAACUAGUUUUAGUGUACGCCUGUUGUGUAUGUAUUUUGUAUAAAUGAGAAAAAACUUUUUAAAAUAGCAUAAUUAAUUAUUUGAAAGAUGUAUUUCUGUUACAUCUUUUUAUAUUUUCACUAUCUUAAUGCGAUUCUAAAGCCAAAGAAUUUGAUUGCUUGCGAUCUUAGAUAAUGAUGAUAAUGAUAAUCGAGUGAACUUCUAUAAGAAGUUAAAAUGAUUCUUUCAUGUAAAAUGAUUUUUUUUCUUUGGGUUUUAGUCGGUCACAAUACUUAUUUUUUUGUCAUUAAAAAAGAAUAUUCUUUUUGCCGAUUGCAAUUGAGAUCAUUCUGGCGCAAGCAGUCAUGUAGCCAUGUAUUUUGUGAUUUGGUUCAUAGUAUAUUCGAACUUUUAGUAAAUAUUUUUAAAAAACUUGCAUGCAGUAAAAAUAUAAUUUGAUUAUUCAUCGUACGAUAAUGCAUACUUUGAAUAUUCUUGGCUCAUUGUUUUGGAGAAAAUUGGCAAAAAGUAUAUUUUUGUAUUUUUUAAAAGUUUUUAGCAUGCGCACAAAAAAUAAAGCUACAUAUUAAUUGUGAGAUUACCUCGUAUCAAUAAUACUUUGAACGAGCAACCAAAUUGCUUUGUAUAUUAUUACUUUGUGUCUAAUUUUUGGAACAUGCUCCUAAAAGAAUCAUCAAUGAUAAUAAUAAUAAUAAUAAUAAUAAUAAUAAUAAUAAUAAUAAUAAUAAUAAUAAUAANNNNNNNNNNNNNNNNNNNNNNNNNNNNNNNNNNNNNNNNNNNNNNNNNNNNNNNNNNNNNNNNNNNNNNNNNNNNNNNNNNNNNNNNNNNNNNNNNNNNNNNNNNNNNNNNNNNNNNNNNNNNNAAUAAUAAUAAUAAUAAUAAUAAUAAUAAUAAUAGUAAUAAUAAUAAUAAUAAUAAUAAUAGUAAUAAUAAUAAUAAUAAUAAUAAUAAUUAAACAAGUAAACUUUUGUAGUAUUACUUUUCGUUGAUGAUGGCAAGGUGUUGUGGCGUUAGGCUCUUUUUGGCCUUUUAGAUUCGUGUGGGAUUCGUGUGACUUUUAGCUGUUUGGCAAGGAUUUGUUAUAUUGCCUAACGAAGAGAGAAAAUCUAUCUUGAGGAAUUUAUUAUACACCUAAAUAUUAGGUUAAGUAUUAAUUGAAGUUGAUUUGAACAUCUUAAAUAUUAGGAAGUUAAUUUAAAUUAUAAUUUAACCCCUUAUGAAAUAUAUUUUAAAGGGUAAAAAAGACGAGCAACAUUUUGCUAAGGGCCUUCGUGCUUUUAAUAUGGUACUAAUUUCUACAAAUGUGUGUUACACGUAAAUAAUAACAUGUAAAUUUUUAGUCAAUUUUAUAUACACGAGAAAAAUUAUUUUAAAGCAACUGACAUGGAAAAAUGCAACAAUCAUUUAAAUGCAAAAAAUUAAUAUUAUUACAUUAUCACAAUACUUGAAAAAAACAUAAUUGGACGCCCUCUCUAAACCUUAAAAACAUCAUAUGAAACUGAAAAUUAAAAAACCAUUAAUUUAGUAAGUUAGUUCGAUAUAUAAUAUGUGUACUUGUAGUUUUUAAAAAUUUGUAAUGUGAAUGUAUCUUACCUACGACUUUAACAUGUUUCUAUUUAAUAUAUGUGAGCAUAACUCUCGUGCAAAGUUGAUUUUGAAAUUAAAAAUAGAUAAAGUGCUUAUGUUUGCAUAUUUUGACUGUAGAUCGAAUUAGAUAGCUAAAGUCUCAUCAUCUAGAAUAAAUACCCCUAGAAUGAACCAAUAUAAUAAACACCAACAACAGGUUUCCAAAAAUAUAAACCCAAAACCAAUAGAGUUAGAUUGAAGUCAUGAUUUUCCUGAUAUAUAUAUUUAUUUAUUUAUUUAUUUCGGUUUGAAGUCUCACUUAUCCUUUUUGCUUGCUUAGCCAUCUUCAUAGUCAAUUCAUUAGGGUUGUUACCUUCUACUCGAAAAAAUAUCCAUCGUUUUCUUUAUCUGUUAAGCCUCACAGUUCUGGGACUUCCUAAAGAAAACUGCAAUCGCAGUUUAUCAAUCACUCACAGGACCAGCGAGAUCUUCAACUUAGCUUCCAAACAUAAUCCACCCAGCCCUUUCCCAACCGUUCGUUUGGUGUUUAAAAUAAAUUUUGACUAAGAAUAUGUAAGAUGUGUCUUAAUUAUAGUAGAAGCAACUUUUCCAUCAUCCCCAAUAUUGAUUACUGCGAUCUUCAUUAAAACAAAAAUUAGAUUAAAUUGUCAAGUCGCGGUAUAAUAACGUCAAGAUCUCUUCUCUUAUGUAUUUUUAAUAUAUACGUCCAAAGGAAACUUGACGAAAAGAGUCUGGGAGCACCAUAGAAACAAACAUAUCAUUAAACUGAUAUCAUAGUUAUUCUAUGAUGAAAUGAUCAAUAAUAUCUAUAAAAAAAGGCUAACUAUAACCAGUAUUACAGACUUACACAUAUUAUGUCCAUGGUGAACAGCUUCAGAUCCUAAAUACAUCCUUCGUGAAUUGUCCUAGUUGCUUUUGAAAGAUGCCGAAGAGGUAGAAUGUAGCCAAGAAGAUCCAUUGCCCUCGAGAUAAUAACUUGAAUAUUCUGCUCAAACCAAAAAUGAAUCGAUGAAUAGAUUGAAUGGUAGUGUUCUUAAGUUUAAGGUAAGAAUCACACUCGCACUAAAUAUAACAUGAAGAAAUUAGAACAUCAUUAUACUAUAACAAUAAUUCUAGAUGAUAUUAUUGUGACUUGCACCUCAUUAACUAAAUUCUCAUCGAUCCAUCAACAAUGUCGUUAGUUUUGAAAUUAAU
rnacentral:lncRNA from 1 species